rnacentral:rRNA from 1 species
CCUUGAAAAUGAAUGGCGCAUAUAGUAAUACCGAUAUUAUACAUUAAAAUUAUUUAAAAAUUUUAAAAGUAGGGGGAUGUGGAUAUCUUAGAGAAUUUUUAAUUGUAAAAUUGAAUUGAAAGAUAUCUAUUACAGAUCCUAAUUGAAGUAGCGAUUAUCCAGGUUAAUUUCCUGGGGGCUGAUGAGGAGUAGGGUUUCUGGGCAACUUAAACGGACCCAGAGUUAGUCGAUCCUAAUCAAAUUAAAUUUAGAGAAAGGGAAUAUGAAUGAUAUUUCAUAACUAAAAUUAAUUUUUAAAUGGUGACAUUUUUUUAAACUUAUUUCCAUCAAUUAAAUACUGUUUAAUAGGGAUUUCUUUCCUAUAUAACUUUUUAAUUAAAACUUAAGAAACAGGUUAACUGGAGAAUAAAGUUUUAAUUUAGUAAAAUUAUAAUUUCGAUUAUAAUAACGGCUAUUUAAAUGAUCCAUGAAACGAUAAGUUUAUUUUUUCAAAAAUUAAUUUAAUCGUACCGAUAACCGCAUCAGGUCUCCAAGGUGAGUAGCUUCUGGCCAUUGAGUAAUGGUAAUUUAGGGAAUUCGGCCAAUUAGAGCUGUAACUUCGGGAUAAAGCUUGGCUCUGAUGGAAAUCAGAACCGAUAGUUACAAGGAGAGCCCAACUGUUUAAUAAAAACUUAGUGUCGCGUCAUACCUUUAUAAGUAAUAAACGUGACAUGAAUCCUGCUCAGUGCUGUGUUUGUUAAACUGGAUUAAUCCAUUUAAGCGCCGGUAAAUAGCUGGGGUAACUAUGACUCUUAUCAAAGUAGCGAAAUACCUCGUCACUUAAUUAGUGACCUGCAUGAACGGAGCUAUGAGGUUCUCACUGUCCCAAAUUAUCACUCAGCGAACCAACAGUUGUGGGAACGGGCACAAAUUAUCCAGCGGGGAAAGAAGACCCUGUAGAGCUUCACUUUGGUCUAAUCUUGUAUAGUUUCGUUAGGGGUGCAGUCUAGGUGGGAGAUUUUUAAUCAAAUAUGAGAAACCACUACCCUUUCUGGAAUUAUACUUACUAAAAUUCUUUUCUAAAUUUUAGGAUCGGAUUAGAUAGAAAGUUUGGCUGGGGCGGCACACCUUCGAAAAAGCAGCGAAGGUGUCCUAAGUUAAGCUCAGUAAGGACAGAAAUCUUACGUUGAGGAUAAGGCCAAAAGCUUAAUUUACUGUGCCUUUUUGUACUAGGAUCAGUUUGGAAACAAAGGCCUAACGAUCCCUAAUUAGUCUUAGGUGUGUAAGACUUGGGGUGACAGACAAGUUACCUCCGGGACAACUGGCUUGUGGCUGCUAAGAGAUCAAAUCAACGCAGCUUUUUGAUUCUUCGAUGUCGGCUCUUCCUAUCCUAGUGAUGUACAAGUCACUAAGGGUUGGAUUGUUCACCCGUAUUAGGGAUCGUGAGCUGGGUUUAGACCGUCGUGAGCCAGGUUUGUUUUAUCCUACUGGAUAUAAUUUAGCAUCUUGAUAGUAGUUUGAUUUAGUACGAGAGGAACUGUUGAAUAUGGUCUCUGGUUUGGGAAUUUUAUGAAAAUAAAAGUUCCAAAGCUACGCCGUCUGAGAUAAUGGCUGAAGGCCUCUUAAGCCAGAAACUCAUCUAAAAAUAGAUGCUUUAAACUAUUUAAAAGAAUUAAAUUUAAAAUAUUUUUUUUAUUAAAAUUUGU